AUUUAGAAUCGUCCAUCUUUCACUUUCAUCUAAACUCGGCUCUGAAGCAGAAGUUAGUUCCCGUGUUCUAGUGAUUUUUUUCUUUUCCAAUUAAGUUACGUUGUUACGAUCCAGAUUUAUCCACGAGGAGCGAAAACUCUGCUUCGUGCGUGUUCGCCCCACUUAUAAAAAGCGUCCGAUAGACGCUUUUUCGUGGGAGCUAGAAGCUCUGAUUCAGAAAUCCCCCAUUGUUCUGCACGCUGUGCACCGUUGGUCCGUGCCGGUCCGCCAUUACGGUAGUUAAACGGGAGUAGAGGUUUUUCCGACCUGCUGAGAUUCCGAAAGGAGGAGACAGUAGAGUUUCGGACCACGAGCCGACGCCCUAUCCCGCAACUUUAGUUCGACCCUCGACGCACGUAGACCCGGCCUAGCUACGCUACUGCUGAGCCAACCCGAGCACCCCUCAUCUGGUGACUCCGUCGGCCGUCGAACAUCGCAUGCAUCCGGCGUAUCCCUCGGCGACAAGUAACGUAACGCCUCGAGCUCCAGUAGCAUAAACCCUGCGCAGGUAUGUCGACAUACAUGGCCAUGUUACACACCACAACACACACACUGUACAUAUCACCCACCCGCAUGAAUCUUUCCGUAAAUAGAAAAUGAAUACAUAGAUGAAUUCAAGUUAA